ensembl:antisense Tmem51os1 Tmem51 opposite strand 1
AUCUCGACCUGGGUGGCUUCGUGGGUGCGCAGCCAGCUCUUUGAAGUUCAAGGCUUGAGAAGUCCCUGGGCAGCCGGGUGUCAGAGGAUUCGGCUGGGGUUAAAAGGCGCCUCCUACUGGAGCUGCCUGCCUCCUUAUCCCACCACGCUGCUACCUCACCAGGACCGGAGGGGAGGCCUCAAAAAUGAGAAGAUUCUAUUCUUGGAUCUGCCAGCACUGGGGCUGUCUCUGCAGCCCUGGCUCGGAAUACCCACACCUAGAAUUUCCAAGAGCUGGCAGGAUAAUGGGCGCCCAAAGCUGUUCACAUCUCAAGUCUCCGGAACCCAGGACCUUAGGUGGUAGACUGCAGGAUCAAUAUGAGUAUCAGAGGCAGCAGCAGGAUGCGAUGCUCUGUGUGAGCCCCCAUGACAUCUGAACUGCAGUUGCUGAGACCUGAACUGCCCACUCGGGAACACAGGACUCUUUAGAGCGGGCUUGUCUGAUGGACCAUUCUUGAACUCUGGACACGUGAUGCUUGAAAAUGAGUGUCUAGCGGGUCUUGGUGAUGCACGCAGGUAACCCCAGUGCCUUUGGGAACUGAGGCAGGGGGAUCAGAAGAUCAGGGUCACCCUUUUUGAGGAUAACUUUGUGUGGUACACACACCAAAAAUCAAAAACUAAAAAACAAAAAACAAAACAAAACAAAAAAAAAA